UACGGAGGGUGCGAGCGUUAAUCGGAAUUACUGGGCGUAAAGGGUGCGUAGGUGGUUAUUUAAGUUGUCUGUGAAAUCCCUGGGCUCAACCUGGGCAGGUCAGAUAAGACUGAAUGACUCGAGUAUAGGAGAGGGUAGUGGAAUUUCCGGUGUAGCGGUGAAAUGCGUAGAGAUCGGAAGGAACACCAGUGGCGAAGGCGGCUACCUGGCCUAAUACUGACACUGAGGCACGAAAGCGUGGGGAGCAAACAGG
rnacentral:rRNA from 1 species